UGUCAAGCCCCGAACAAUAUGGUGUUACCCAACCCCGUCAGGUUCGGAAGAAAGCAGCGGCAAGUAAUUGCUAUAUGUGAUUCGGGUGUCUUGGCAUUA
rnacentral:SRP_RNA from 1 species